rnacentral:misc_RNA from 1 species
CGACCCUCAAGCGCAGCUUGGUGUUGGGCGCGGCCCCCGCGGGCCCGCCCCAAGGUCAGUGGCGGCGCCGCCCGGCCCUGGGCGCAGUACGGUUCUCGCUCCAGCGCCUGGCGGUGGCCGGCCAGCAACCCCCUUCUGU